CUUUCCAGGUGCUCGCCAGACACAUGCCGAGAGAUGCCGGCGGCCAUGAUUUGAACAUUAAUCACAUGAGCGACGCAGCAGCGCAGCGCGCCUCGCGUGCUUGUGGAUGGCAGGUGGCGGCAAAAGUGAAGCAGUUUUGCCGUGGGGGUUGGGUGGAAAGCCAUCAUGCAGAACAGCUGCUCGAUCGAAUUAUCACCUGCCUAAUCGGGCCCGCCUGCUGCUUUGUAGUUGCCGCAGCUACCCGGAGGCGCAGCCUUGCUCCGCCUCCAUGUGGCCCAGGUGUGGGGGCAGCUGCUCCGUUCCCACAACGUCCACAUUGGUCAGGUCAGACACACACACACACACACACACAC